AUCCAGCUAAUAAGUCCCAAAUAGAAUGAAACGCGCGUCCUGGAU
rfam:Schistosoma curassoni strain Dakar, Senegal genome assembly, scaffold: SCTD_contig0000311